rnacentral:tRNA from 1 species
GGUUGUGGCUCAGUGGUAGAGUGCCCGGCUCACAUGUGUGAGGCACUGGGUUCGAUCCUCAGCACAGCA